UGACGGGCAUUUUUUUACCAUCUACAGAAACUUAUUGUAAUUCAUUUUUCCUCACUCCAGUAGUAAGAAUUACACCAAAUUGAAAAGAUAUGAAUGAGUAUCCUAAAAAAAGAAAAAGGAAGACUCAACACCCUUCUCGUUAUUCAGAUUCCUCUGGAAUAAGCAGAAUUGCAGAUGGAUUCAAUGGAAUUUUCUCUGAUCAUCGUUACAUGUCUGUUCCUUGAGACAGCCAGAUUUAAAAUAUUUUGACAACAAAGAUGAUGAUUCUGAUACCAAGACAUCAAACGACUUGCCAAAAUUUGCAGAUGGAAUCAAGGCCAGAAACAGAAAUCAGAACUACCUGGUUCCCAGUCCUGUACUUAGAAUUCUAGACCACACUGCCUUUUCUACAGAAAAAUCUGCUGGUAUUGAAAUUUGUGAUGAAGAGUGUGACUCACCUGAAUCAGUCAACCAGCAAACCCAAGAGGAGAGUCCUAUAGAAGUUCACACUACUGAAGAUGUUCCAAUUGCUGUAGAAGUGCAUGCGAUUUCUGAGGAUUAUGAUAUAGAGACAGAAAACAAUUCCUCUGAGAGUCUCCAAGAUCAUACUGAUGAAGAACCACCAGCUAAACUUUGUAAAAUUCUUGACAAGAGCCAAGUUUGAAUGUGACUGCCCAGCAGAAAUGGCCUUUACUGAGAGCUGAUAGCAGUGGCCUCUAUAAAUGUGAACUUUGUGAGUUUAACAGCAAAUAUUUUUCUGACUUAAAGCAGCAUAUGAUCCUGAAGCAUAAAUGUACUGAUUCAAAUGUGUGUCGAGUGUGCAAGGAAAGUUUCUCUACCAAUAUGCUUCUGAUAGAACAUGCCAAACUACAUGAAGAGGAUCCCUACAUUUGUAAAUACUGUGACUAUAAGACAGUAAUUUUUGAGAACCUCAGUCAGCACAUUGCAGACUCCCAUUUUAGUGAUCACCUCUAUUGGUGUGAACAGUGUGAUGUACAGUUCUCCUCAAGCAGUGAACUCUACCUACGUUUCCAGGAGCACAGCUGUGAUGAACAGUACUUGUGUCAGUUCUGUGAACAUGAAACUGAUGAUCCGGAAGACUUGCAUAGCCAUGUGGUAAAUGAGCAUGCAUGUAAAUUAAUAAAGUUAUAAGUAUAACAAUGGAGAACAUGGACAGUAUAGCCUCUUAAGCAAAAUUACCUUUGACAAAUGUAAAAACGUCUUUGUAUGGCAAGUAUGUGGUUUUCGGAGUAGAUGUCAUACAAAUGUUAACGGGCAUGUUGCUAUUGAACAUACUAAAAUUUUUCUUCAUGUUUGUGAUGACCGUGGGAAAGGCUUUUCAAGUAUGCUAGAAUAUUGCAAGCAUUUAAAUUCACAUUUAUCUGAAGGGAUUUAUGUCAAUAUUGUGAAUAUUCAACAGGACAAAUUGAAGAUCUUAAAAUUCAUCUAGAUUUCAAGCAUUCAGCUGACUUAUCUCAUAAAUGUAGUGACUGCUUGAUGAGGUUUGGAAAUGAAAGGGAAUUAAGUCACCUUCCAGUCCAUGAGACAACUUGAUUACUCUCUUUAACUUACAGAAUGUUAAUUUAAAAUAAUAAAUUUAGCCUUUUUUUGGAGAUGAUUAAAUGGAUAAUUGUAAACACAACUUAUGAAAUUUGCCUUUAACAAGUAACUUUUGUAAAUUAUAAAAUCUUUUUGGCAUUGCUCCAUUUUCAGUAUAUAAAUAUAUCUUUAAUGUGGUAUUUUCAAUUGCAUGAUAGUUUGUAGUUUUAACCACUCUUGGUGACUGUCAUCCUGUUUCUUGCAUGUGCUCGAUUUCAUGAAUUGAAAAGAAACAAAUGUAUUGAAAUGAGCUGCAGUUUUCCUUCCUUAACCAUGGGUGCUAGUAACUUUUUCUUUUUAAAACUCAAGACAAGAUUAGUUUUUUUGGUGUAUGAAGUCAUGAAAUUAUUAUAUGACCAGAACUAAAAUGCAAUAUACAAUUAAAUCCAUGGAUACUCCCAUUAAUAAGAAAUAACACUAGGAGGCCACUAUUAUCACAGGAAGAAAAGAUUUGGUUUUCAUGGCAGUCUGUUUUUUUAAAAAAAUUUUUUGAGCUCCUAUCUAUUGUUGAAUAUUUUAAGACAGGAUGAGGGAGGAACUAAUUAAUAAGGGCUUACACAAUAAUAAAUAACUGUAUCAUAACUCA